rnacentral:rRNA from 1 species
UACGUAGGGUGCAAGCGUUAAUCGGAAUUACUGGGCGUAAAGCGUGCGCAGGCGGUGAUGUAAGACAGAUGUGAAAUCCCCGGGCUCAACCUGGGAACUGCAUUUGUGACUGCAUCGCUGGAGUGCGGCAGAGGGGGAUGGAAUUCCGCGUGUAGCAGUGAAAUGCGUAGAUAUGCGGAGGAACACCGAUGGCGAAGGCAAUCCCCUGGGCCUGCACUGACGCUCAGGAGCGAAAGCGUGGGGAGCGAUCCGG